GAGCAGCAGUGGGGAAUAUUGCACAAUGGGCGAAAGCGUGAUGCAGCCAUGCCGCGUGUGUGAAGAAGGCCUUCGGGUUGUAAAGCACUUUCAGCGAGGAGGAAAGGUUACUGGCUAAUAUCCAGUAGCUGUGACGUUACUCGCAGAAGAAGCACCGGCUAACUUCGUGCCAGCAGCCGCGGUAAUACGAGGGGUGCAAGCGUUAAUCGGAAUUACUGGGCGUAAAGCGUACGCAGGCGGUUUGUUAAGCGAGAUGUGAAAGCCCCGGGCUCAACCUGGGAACUGCAUUUCGAACUGGCAAACUAGAGUCUUGUAGAGGGGGGUAGAAUUUCAGGUGUAGCGGUGAAAUGCGUAGAGAUCUGAAGGAAUACCGGUGGCGAAGGCGGCCCCCUGGACAAAGACUGACGCUCAGGUACGAAAGCGUGGGGAGCAAACAGGAUUAGAUACCCUGGUAGUCCACGCCGUAAACGAUGUCUACUCGGAGUUUGGUGUCUUGAACACUGGGCUCUCAAGCUAACGCAUUAAGUAGACCGCCUGGGGAGUACGGCCGCAAGGUUAAAACUCAAAUGAAUUGACGGGGGCCCGCACAAGCGGUGGAGCAUGUGGUUUAAUUCGAUGCAACGCGAAGAACCUUACCUACUCUUGACAUCCUCAGAACUUCCAGAGA
rnacentral:rRNA from 1 species